GGUGGCUCAGCGGUAGAGCGCUCAUUUAGCACAUGUGAAGCCCUGGGUUCGAUCCUCAGCACCA
rnacentral:tRNA from 1 species